rnacentral:lncRNA from 1 species
GCCAGGUGAUCAGCCUAUUGUACCCUGCGUUGUGCACAAGUAUUAAGUUUUAAGCUGCAUAAGCGAAAUGGGACUAUUUGCCCGACAUCUAUUUGCCCGUUUAUUCGGGUUGUUCAUCUUAGUAAUCAUGUGAGACCGCACCAAAGGAAUUUGGAUUGGUAAACAUUUAAUAGCUUCGAAAGAUUUGUUUUAAAUAACUUUUUCCAUCAAUAAUAACUAGCCGGAAACAAAGGCCAGGAACAUAC